rnacentral:rRNA from 1 species
GAUGAACGCUGGCGGCGUGCCUAAUACAUGCAAGUCGAGCGAAGCGGGGAUGGGUGAGUAAUACGUGGAUAACCUCCUAUAAGAUGGGGAUAACUUCGGGAAACCGGAUCUAAACCGGAUAUCUAAAUUUGGACCCCCGCUGCAUCAGCUAGUUGGUAAGGUAAUGGCUUACAAAGGUAACGAUGCAUAGCCGACCUGAGAGGGUGAUCGGCCACACGGGAACUGAGACACGGUCCAGACUCCUACGGGAGGCAGCGAUAGGGAAUCUUGCGCAAUGGGCGAAGGCCUGACGGAGCAACGCCACGUGAGUGAUGAAGGUCUUCGGAUCGUAAAGCUCUGUUAUUAGGGAAGCGGUACCUAAUCAGAAAGCCACGGCUAACUACGUGCCAGCCGCCGCGGUAAUUC